rnacentral:snRNA from 1 species
GGGUGUGAGGUGACCUGGCUACAACAUCUGUCACCCUGUUGAUAGUUGAGGUUCAUUCAGCUGAUCUGGCAAGCUAGAUAGUGUACUCUUUGUCCCUCCCAUCAGUCUCCUUUCAGUCACACAGGACAAGUACCUUGGAGAGAGGAGGACCAUUCCCUCUGUGAUGGUGAUAGGAAGAGUAGUGGCACUUCCCUGCUAGCACCUCCAGACAAGCUCUUAAGGUCAUAUUUUAUAUUUUUUAUUGUAAGACAGCAUCUCACUAAAUUUACUAAGUUGCCCAGGCUGCACUUGAACUUGUGGUUUUCUUGCUUCAGCC